UUGCUCCUACGGGGCGCAGCAGUGGGGAAUAUUGCACAAUGGGGGGAACCCUGAUGCAGCGACGCCGCGUGAGUGAAGAAGUAUUUCGGUAUGUAAAGCUCUAUCAGCAGGGAAGAAGAUGACGGUACCUGACUAAGAAGCCCCGGCUAACUACGUGCCAGCAGCCGCGGUAAUACGUAGGGGGCAAGCGUUAUCCGGAUUUACUGGGUGUAAAGGGAGCGUAGGUGGCAGGGCAAGUCAGAUGUGAAAACCCGGGGCUCAACUCCGGGAGUGCAUUUGAAACUGUCCAGCUAGAGUGCAGGAGG
rnacentral:rRNA from 1 species